rnacentral:lncRNA from 1 species
AGUAAAUAACACCAGUUUAUCUGUUUUAUAUGUUGCUAUUACAGAUAGGAAUGACACCAUUGUUGUAUGCAGCACAGGAAGGACACCUGAAUAUCAUCCGUUAUCUGGUCAUAGUCGGCUGUGAUACAGAAGUCAGAUCAACCAAGGUGAUUAUAGAUUGUAUCUCCUCAGUCUGAUUCUACUCUAUUUUAUACUUUAUCAACACAAAAUCAUGUUGUAAAAUCAGACAGAUUUAAUGGACAACACAGAAUGUAAGAAAUAAAUUAAUAAUGUUAGAUCUUCAAAUAGAAUCAUAUAAUAAACAGG